GACGAACGCUGGCGGCGUGCUUAACACAUGCAAGUCGAACGGAAAGGCCCUGCUUUUGUGGGGUGCUCGAGUGGCGAACGGGUGAGUAACACGUGAGUAACCUGCCCUUGACUUUGGGAUAACUUCAGGAAACUGGGGCUAAUACCGGCUAGGAGCUCCUUCUGCAUGGUGGGGGUUGGAAAGUUUCGGCGGUUGGGGAUGGACUCGCGGCUUAUCAGCUUGUUGGUGGGGUAGUGGCUUACCAAGGCUUUGACGGGUAGCCGGCCUGAGAGGGUGACCGGCCACAUUGGGACUGAGAUACGGCCCAGACUCCUACGGGAGGCAGCAGUGGGGAAUAUUGCACAAUGGGCGGAAGCCUGAUGCAGCAACGCCGCGUGCGGGAUGACGGCCUUCGGGUUGUAAACCGCUUUCGCCUGUGACGAAGCGUGAGUGACGGUAAUGGGUAAAGAAGCACCGGCUAACUACGUG
rnacentral:rRNA from 1 species